rnacentral:rRNA from 1 species
GGUCAAGUGAAUAAGCGCAUAUGGUGGAUGCCUUGGCAGUAAGAGGCGAUGAAGGACGUAGUAGCCUGCGAUAACUUCGGGGAGCUGGCAAACAAGCGAUGAUCCGGACAUUUCCGAAUGGGGAAACCCAACCUUUCGAGGUUAUGUAUACUGAAUUCAUAGGUAUACGAGGCGAACCUGGGGAACUGAAACAUCUAAGUACCCAGAGGAAAAGAAAUCAACCGAGAUUCCGUCAGUAGCGGCGAGCGAAAGAACAGCCCAGUUACUAAAUCAUUAUUUGUUCUAGCAGAAUGUUCUGGAAAGUUCAGCCAUAGCGGGUGAUAGCCCGGUACCCGAAAGAGUAAAUAAUGUGGGUAACGAUGAGUAGGUCGGGACACGUGGUAUCUUGACUGAACAUGGGGGGACCAUCCUCCAAGGCUAAAUACUCCUUACUGACCGAUAGCGAACCAGUACCGUGAGGAAAGGUGAAAAAGAACCCCGGCGAGGGAGUGAAAUAGAACCUGAAACCGUAUGCGUACAAGCUGUAGGAGCAUUUCUUCGGAAAUGUGACUGCGUACCUUUUGUAUAAUGGGUCAGCGACUUACUUGUUGUAGCGAGCUUAACCGUCUAGGGGAGGCGUAGGGAAACCGAGUCCGAAAUGGGCGUUUAGUUGCAACGAGUAGACCGAACCCGAAGCGAUCUAUCUAUGGCCAGGGUGAAGGUCAGGUAACACUGACUGGAGGCCGAACCACUAAUGUGAAAAAGUUAGGGGAUGAGCUGUGGAUAGGAGUGAAAGGCUAAUCAAGCUCGGAGAUAGCUGGUUCUCCUCGAAAGCUAUUUAGGUAGCGCCUCGUGUAUGACUCUUGGGGGUAGAGCACUGUUUCGGCUAGGGGGCCAUCCCGGCCUACCAAACCGAGGCAAACUCCGAAUACCAAGAAGUUUUAGCACGGGAGACACACUGCUGGGUGAUAAGGUCCGUGGUGGAAAGGAACGCCAGAUCGCCAGAUCGCAGCUAAGGUCCAAAUACACGUAGUGGAAACGAUGUGGGAAGGCUCAGACAGCCAGGACCUUGGCUUAGAAGCAGCCAUCCUUUAAAGAAAGCCUAAUAGCUCACUGGUCGAGUCGUCCUGCGCGGAAGAUUUAACGGGGCUCAAACUGUGUACCGAAGCUGCGG